AUAGAGCUACAUGGUGAAGGUAGUGUUGAAUAGAGCUACAUGGUGAAGGUAGUGUUGAAUAGAGCUACAUGGUGAAGGUAGUGUUGAAUAGAGCUACAUGGUGAAGGUAGUGUUGAAUAGAGCUACAUGGUGAAGGUAGUGUUGAAUAGAGCUACAUGGUGAAGGUAGUGUUGAAUAGAGCUACAUGGUGAAGGUAGUGUUGAAUAGAGCUACAUGGUGAAGGUAGUGUUGAAUAGAGCUACACGGGGAAUCUGAAGUUCAGUUUCAGACUGACAGGUGAGGCGUUGGCGUGCCAACCAACAUCAGCAACCUUUCUAUUGGGAGAAUCUCAUCCAAUCCUCUGUCCUUUUACAUUCUUCUCAAAAACCUAUUGGAUGAGAAAGCCAGAGGUCCUUCCCCCUCUGACCUUUCUAAUCCAAUGGGUUUUUGAGAAGCCUUGUGAGGAGAGAGGACACAAGGAAUCAAAGAAAUGCAAUUGAGAUUCUCCCAAUGAUUCACUUCCACCUUUUCGUUCACCUUUUAAAGUGUUUUAACUGUGUGGUUCGUCGUUAAGACAGAAGAUGAACCGAUAGUCUGACAAUAUACUCUACUGUUAUGGUGUAUGUUGGGGUCUAUUUAUUACAACGACCAGUAAACAGUCUUCAAUAAAGGACACAGUGCAGGACAAGUCACAACCCUAGGCCAUGGGGCUACAUCACUAGGGGUCAACCCUAGGCCAUGGGGCAUCAUCACUAGGGGUCAACCCUAGGCCAUGGGGCUUCAUCACUAGGGGUCAACCCUAGGCCAUGGGGCAUCAUCACUAGGGGUCAACCCUAGGCCAUGGGGCUUCAUCACUAGGGGUCAACCCUAGGCCAUGGGGCUUCAUCACUAGGGGUCAACCCUAGGCCAUGGGGCAUCAUCACUAGGGGUCAACCCUAGGCCAUGGGGCUUCAUCACUAGGGGUCAACCCUAGGCCAUGGGGCUUCAUCACUAGGGGUCAACCCUAGGCCAUGGGGCUUCAUCACUAGGGGUCAACCCUAGGCCAUGGGGCUUCAUCACUAGGGGUCAACCCUAGGCCAUGGGGCUUCAUCACUAGGGGUCAACCCUAGGCCAUGGGUCUUCAUCACUAGGGGUCAACCCUAGGCCAUGGGGCUUCAUCACUAGGGGUCAACCCUAGGCCAUGGGGCUUCAUCUCUAGGGGUCAACCCUAGGCCAUGGGGCUACAUCACUAGGGGUCAACCCUAGGCCAUGGGUCUACAUCACUAGGGGUCAACCCUAGGCCAUGGGGCUUCAUCACUAGGGGUCAACCCUAGGCCAUGGGUCUUCAUCACUAGGGGUCAACCCUAGGCCAUGGGGCUUCAUCACUAGGGGUCAACCCUAGGCCAUGGGGUUCGUCACUAAGUGUCCCCUAAAGUACAGUCAUUGUGAUAUUGUCCAAAGUAGAGCUUUACUCAUGUUCUCCUGUUAUGAAGUAGUUUUGAUGUGUAACUGUUGUAUUGCAAUGAGAUGCCUUCAGAUGUCUAGAAACCCAUAUUAACGAUCAAUACAUGUUGAUAUCUUCAGAUGUCUAGAAACCCAUAUUAACGAUCAAUACAUGUUGAUAUCUUCAGAUGUCUAGAAACCCAUAUUAACGAUCAAUACAUGUUGAUAUCUUCAGAUGUCUAGAAACCCAUAUUAACGAUCAAUACAUAUUGAUAUCUUCAGAUGUCUAGAAACCCAUAUUAACGAUCAAUACAUGUUGAUAUCUUCAGAUGUCUAGCAACCCAUAUUAAAGAUCAAUACAUGUUAUCUUCAGAUGUCUAGAAACCCAUAUUAACGAUCAAUACAUGUUGAUAUCUUCAGAUGUUUAGAAACCCAUAUUAACGAUCAAUACAUGUUGAUAUCUUCAGAUGUCUAGAAACCCAUAUUAAAGAUCAAUACAUAUUGAUAUCUUUAGAUGUCUAGAAACCGAUAUUAAAGAUCAAUACAUGUUGAUAUCUUCAGAUGUCCAGAAACCCAUAUUAAAGAUCAAUACAUGUUGAUAUCUUCAGAUGUCUAGAAACCCAUAUUAAAGAUCAAUACAUGUUGAUGCCUUCAGAUGUCUAGAAACCCAUAUUAAAGAUCAAUACAUGUUGAUGCCUUCAGAUGUCUAGAAACCCAUAUUAACGAUCAAUACAUGUUGAUAUCUUCAGAUGUCUAGAAACCCAUAUUAACGAUCAAUACAUGUUGAUAUCUUCAGAUGUCUAGAAACCCAUAUUAAAGAUCAAUACAUGUUGAUAUCUUCAGAUGUCUAGAAACCCAUAUUAACGAUCAAUACAUGUUGAUAUCUUCAGAUGUCUAGAAACCCAUAUUAACGAUCAAUACAUGUUGAUAUCUUCAGAUGUCUAGAAACCCAUAUUAACGAUCAAUACAUGUUGAUAUCUUCAGAUGUCUAGAAACCCAUAUUAACGAUCAAUACAUGUUGAUAUCUUCAGAUGUCUAGAAACCCAUAUUAACGAUCAAUACAUGUUGAUAUCUUCAGAUGUCUAGAAACCCAUAUUAACGAUCAAUACAUAUUGAUAUCUUCAGAUGUCUAGAAACCCAUAUUAACGAUCAAUACAUGUUGAUAUCUUCAGAUGUCUUGAAACCCAUAUUAAAGAUCAAUACAUGUUAUCUUCAGAUGUCUAGAAACCCAUAUUAACGAUCAAUACAUGUUGAUAUCUUCAGAUGUUUAGAAACCCAUAUUAACGAUCAAUACAUGUUGAUAUCUUCAGAUGUCUAGAAACCCAUAUUAAAGAUCAAUACAUAUUGAUAUCUUUAGAUGUCUAGAAACCCAUAUUAAAGAUCAAUACAUGUUGAUAUCUUCAGAUGUCUAGAAACCCAUAUUAAAGAUCAAUACAUGUUGAUAUCUUCAGAUGUCUAGAAACCCAUAUUAAAGAUCAAUACAUGUUGAUGCCUUCAGAUGUCUAGAAACCCAUAUUAAAGAUCAAAACAUGUUGAUAUCUUCAGAUGUCUAGAAACCCAUAUUAUCGAUCAAUACAUGUUGAUAUCUUCAGAUGUCUAGAAACCCAUAUUAAAGAUCAAUACAUGUUGAUGCCUUCAGAUGUCUAGAAACCCAUAUUAAAGAUCAAUACAUAUUGAUAUCUUCAGAUGUCUAGAAACCCAUAUUAAAGAUCAAUACAUGUUGAUAUCUUCAGAUGUCUAGAAACCCAUAUUAACGAUCAAUACAUGUUGAUAUCUUCAGAUGUCCAGAAACCCAUAUUAACGAUCAAUACAUGUUGAUAUCUUCAGAUGUCUAGAAACCCAUAUUAACGAUCAAUACAUGUUGAUAUCUUUAGAUGUCUAGAAACCCAUAUUAAAGAUCAAUACAUGUUGAUAUCUUCAGAUGUCUAGAAACCCAUAUUAAAGAUCAAUACAUGUUGAUGCCUUCAGAUGUCUAGAAACCCAUAUUAAAGAUCAAAACAUGUUGAUAUCUUCAGAUGUCUAGAAACCCAUAUUAACGAUCAAUACAUGUUGAUAUCUUCAGAUGUCUAGAAACCCAUAUUAACGAUCAAUAUAUGUUGAUAUCUUCAGAUGUCCAGAAACCCAUAUUAACGAUCAAUACAUGUUGAUGCCUUCAGAUGUCUAGAAACCCAUAUUAAAGAUCAAUACAUGUU